rnacentral:lncRNA from 1 species
AUAUGAGUGUGUACUGGCAUGAGCUCCACAUUGCUUAAUUCAAGGGAGGUCGACUUGGCCUUGUGAUAAUUAAUUGUUCCAUAUAUUCUUUGUUGAUGUGGAAUACCACAGGAAGCUGUGAGUACUGUGGCAUACCCGAGAUAAAAUGUGUUUGUCCUUGAAGUUAAGGCACACUUACUUAUCCUGGAUUGUUUUGAAUCCAGAACAUAUUAAAUUGUAAAUAUUUUGCUAGUUUAUGAGUGACACCUGAAAUAAUAAUCAUUAUACAUAUUUAAGUUUCAGAAACAUGAGAAAAGUUUAAUAGAUGAUAUAAUUUGGUAUGAACUGGUUUGUUAUCUCUUUUAUAUGUAACCCCUGGAUGCCUUUUCUUAUUAAUUUUUGCAUUUAAAAUGUCUUUGUCCUCCAACCCACAUUUGGCUUCUAUAGAAGAGCUGACAGGUAGAAGUCCUAUUUAAAUACAUAAUAUGUGAUCUGGUGCUAGCAACACAGAAGUUGAAUAUCCUGUUUGUAAAGUUUAUCUGCUGCUUUCUAAAUGUGAAAGGGAUUGAUUGGAAGUGAAACCAAGCAGGACCCCAGUCUGAAGGCCCGUGUUCCAUGGACAGUCUUUCUACAGUGACUUCAUAAGGAUUCCAUUCAUAUCCUUGAGUCUGCACUUGGUAUUAGCAAGUCAGACUACAGAGAAAGGAAGUAGGAUACAUUGGGACAUUGCGGCAGCAAACUUUCCUACAGAAAGAAGGUUUGGGAUAUGUGUCCUUGCAGCAUUGAUCUGAUUGGAGGAGACCAGGGUUCACUGUGACAUUGGAAAUAACAAAGAUUCAAAACCAUAAGAGCACAGCUGUUUAUAAGAAAGGAGGAGCAGAGACAUCGUAGACAUAAUAUAUUUUAUAGGCAUGGUUUUCCACAAGAAAUAAAGAAAUACACAUUCAACUUACAAAUUUGCAUAUUCUAGUAUACUCCAUGCCAGCCUUCCUCAAAAUUUAAGCCCAUUUAUGGAAAAAUAUUCCUUGCCAAUCUUUUAAACCUAAUCAUUAUAUUUUUGGGUCAUAAUCUUCUGUCCAUAACUAUUUUACCUGUUCUUACUGAUUAUGACACCAUGACCAAAGAAUUAUGACUACUUCAUUGUUUUAUUUUGUUUUAAGGAAGAAAUAGGAAAUGUAGGGGAUAAAGGAUAGGGUGGACUCAACUUUAUGUGGUGGUAAAAUUUAAGUUAAAAAAUUUAAUUUAAGAAAAAUGGUAUAUAUCUUUUAAAAGUAACUUGUUAGUUGAAAAUAAAUAUUGCCACGGAUAAAUAAAAAUGAAACUAUCACAUAUAUUUUGUAUAUUUAAAUUACUAUUUAUGCUUCCUAAAAUGGACAGUAUGCGGUUCUUCAGUAACAAUCAAUUUAGUAUUAUAUUUCUGAGAGGAAAAAAGUGUGUUUGAAGUUAUUAUCAUAGCAGUUUUUCUCUUAAGGGUAUUGACAGCAAUAGCUUCAUGCUGCUCAAUAAAACCAACUAUGACAGAAGUUAAGGAAUUUUUGUAAUCUAUAUUGAUAAAAAAAUCUAGUAAUUCUUUAUCAGUAAUAGUUCCUCAAAGAGAGUUUGAAAUGUUAUAACAUAAUUUUUUAAUGUUUUAUAAUUAAUGUAUAUUUUGAUGUCCAAUUAUAAUGCUGAAAGAAUAAGGGAAACAGUAAGUGGGAGCAUGUGUUGUGUGUGUGUGUGUGUGUGUGUGUGUGUGUGUGUGUAUGAACAAUCAGUGGGAGAACUGUAUCUAUAAAAUGCUUACAGAAGCUGUAAGUUCUGCUUGUACAAGUAAGAUGGCGACGAAGGCAAAAUAACAAAUAUAGCGAACCACAGAGUUCUUAAGCAGUUUAAACAGAUACCUUCGCUGUGUUUCACCAGCUAUGUAGACCUACAAUUCAAACCCAACAGCCAACACAGCACAGAUCUAAGAGUGAAGGAAACAUCUUCAGAUGAAAGCAUAAUUGAAAUCAAAUGUGUUUAUGGCUCAAGUUGCUAUCUUGACUUGAGCAGUUAUGACCUCAUAGAUUUAAACCAAUCAAACACAAGGCACCAUCCUUCAUCAUUUCUAUGACCUUAGUGCACGUGUAUUCUGGCUAUUGCAGUAAAUAUGACCCCUCUCUUGACAUUUAAGUGUAGGCAAUAUAUUUCUAAGUGUGUCUUUCGAAUGCUGAUCUUACACAUAUCACUAUGCGUUAGGCAGAAGAUAACUGUUAAUGUUGGUCACUUGUUCAGAAGGAAACAGGUACUAAAUUGAUUUGUGUUGGACUCAGCCAUUCAUGUGUGUUCUGUCACGCUCAUGCCAUGGCCACAUGUCAUACUCCUUCAAAUAUGUUAAUUUUUUUAAAGGAGUUACCUUUUUUUGACAAUUUGAACUUAGGCAACCAUUUCCAUUUAUUUCUUCAAAUCUCUCUCUACAUGAGAAAGAAUUGGAAUAUCUGGGAAAAUGGCUUCACUUGGAUUAGACUUCAGAUCUGUUACUCUGUGCCUAUACAAUAUUUAAUUGUCCACUGUGACAAUUAGCUAUUCUAUAGUCAGCUUCUCCUUCAUAUAGAGUUUCUCUUUGUUGUGAGAAAAGAGUCAUUAGUACAUAGGAAAAAAAUCAUGCUGACUCUGUCUAGUGGCAAUAAAUUAGGGCACUUCACCAUAUGUAUCUGGCCGGAAGAUAACCUGCAGCCAGCACAUGAUGACAUGAUAAUGCUCAUAUUUCUAGCAGUGCCAAAGAAUAAAUCAUAUAAAGGCAUGGUUAUCAGGCCAAGAGAACUCAUACUUAUGACAAAUAGUCUUUUCACAGCAAAUGUUGUAGAAACAGAUUUUUAUUGGCUGUCAGUAAGAUGCUUUUACGUGUGAAAUACUUCCUAGUAGAGAAGACACGAAUUUCCGUGGAAAUGAUGGAAGAAAAGAGUAAAAUACUGUGUUUUCCCCAUCACAGAUGCCAGCACUACUUGAGAAAUCACACUUUACAGAGACACUGCCAAUAUCUCCCUCUGUAUGCUAUUGAAGCAAAAGUUUGAGGUAAAAAGUGAUUUUUGCAAAUAAGGAUGAAUUUUUAGCCAUGUAAUAAUUG